UUCACUUGUUAUCAGGGAUGCAUCAGAAGCACCAGCAACACCUAGUAGACAGCCCUGGAGGUCUAAGAAAGAUGGAUUUAGCAGUGGAACAAGGGGAUCAAAACCUAGGUGGUUAAGGCCAAAUAAUAAUUAAUGUGGUUGCUCUACAAGUUCUUGAAUGGAAGUUGCAGCUGUCUGACUGAAUAAUGAAGUCCUCCCUACUUGUUGCAUGGCUAUAUAUUUGUUUAACUAUGUCAACCUAUGCUAAGUCUAAUUAUGUUGCAAAAGGGUUGUAAAAAUUAAUGAAGAUAUUUUUCCUUUCUAGUUUCAGGCAUCAAUUCAAUGUUAAUGUUUUGAUUUUAGAUGAGCUAAAGAGGAGAAAUAUACAGUGGGAAUCAAAUAUGAGAUGACGAUCAUCUCCUAAA